ACUCGGCCCUCUUCGGAGCUCCAGCCCUCGCGGGCCGCUCCCUCCCCGUCUCGGAGGACUUGGGCUCCUCGUCCGAAGCGCAGGGUCUUUGGCGCGCUCGCAGCUUGCCGGGCUCUGCGAUCCCUCCAGUGGGCGUCUCCCGGAGCAGCGUCCCGCCUGCCCACUGAGCAGCUCUCAGCAGGGUGAGCUGGCCCCUCUCCCUGCUCUGCCUUUUUUCAACUUCGGCGAGGUCGGGAAGUCCGUUCAUGCAGAGUUACCAAGGUUGUCACGUUGAGAUGCUGGACUUGAAAUCUGGAGUCCUGCUUCCUGUGGCUAGAUAAUCCUGGGUCUGUGCGUCUUAUAAAUGGAAAUGAAAGGACCUGCCUUUCCUGUUGUUGAGGUCAUCGGGAAGAUCAAAUAUUUGAGAAGUACUUCAGUUCAUGGAAGCAGCUAUCUCCUUCACUUACUAGCAGUAAGACUUUGUUUUCAUCUUCGAGUUUCAAAUUCUUCACUGUAAAAUCUUGGUGAUUAAACACAAUGCAGUUGCUGCAAAGAUUAUAUAAAUGGUUGUUUAAAUUUCUGGCAUUUUAUCGGUGUUCAAAACAUUUUCUUUUUUUCAUACAUGUAAAUCCUCCAAAUUACCAGCUAUUUUACCAUUAACAUUUUCCCUUCCAAUUAAAGCAAAAUAUUCCCAAUUUACAUAUGUGCAAUGAGAAGAGUUUUAUGGUUAAAUAUGUUGGAGAAGUGCUGUGUAUGCAUCCCACCCUCUCCUGGUGAUUUAUACAUAAAAAGGACCUGAGAAACUUCAGAAAAGAAACUUACUUAACCUUGUUCAUCAAUGUUUUCCAAGGUUAUUUUACCAUGGAAACUCCCCAUUUUUUUACUUUCCCCAUGGAAUGGUGAUGAACAUGUCACAAGACAAGGUGACAGAGCAGGAGCAUCACCAUCCUGCCAUUUUAAAGUUCACCUUGAUCAAAAACCACCUAAAUCCAAAGGGCAUCAGCCUAAUGGCUAAGGCCAGAAUGACCAUGAGCCACAAAUAACAUCUCUUACCAGAAACAUUCCAAACCCCUCCCUGACCAGAGACAUAUCAGCCCCAAGAUAACCUCCCCUCCAACCAGAUACAUUCCAACCCUGCAACUGACUUCUCCGUUAUACAGAAACAUUCCACGCCGGUGAUAAGUUCUCUCACCCUUAAACCAAUUAAUACUCUUAGUCUGUAACAGAGAAUGCUCCUGACUGAAAUUGGCCAGAAGCCCCUCUCAGGUUUAUUCUCCAAAAUAAACCUGUCUUUGAAUGUUGAGCCACUUUUUGUGUUUCUUUGCAUAUUUGAUUGCUUCUUCUGCCCUAUUGUUUAAGUAAAAAUGCAGAUUCACUGAGCCAGACUAAGGCAUAAGUGACUAUUCCUCUACCCUCUUCACAUGUAAGUUAUCUAUUCAGUGAAAGACUAAAGACUCAAAAGAACACAACCAUUUGUCUCUUAUCUACCUAUGACCUGAAACCUCCCGCUUCGAGUUGUCCCACAUUUCCAGAUUGAACCAAUGUACAUCUUACUUAUAUUAAUUGAUGUCUUAUGUCUCCCUAAAAUGUAUAAAACCAAGCUGUACCCUGACCACCUUGGGGACAUGUCAUCAGGACUUUGUUCGGUUGUGUCAUGGGAGUGUCCUUAACCUUGGCAAAAAUAAACUUUCUAAAUUGAUUGAGAC
rnacentral:lncRNA from 10 species